rnacentral:lncRNA from 1 species
CACAAUAUAUUACAGAUAACAAUUAUCAAUAAAUCUCUUACAGGCCUAAUCUGUUAGCAGGUCUCUAACACACAUCAACACUUUACUUUGACCUAAUGUGAUAUACGAUUAGAAAAAUGGGGCAGCACGGAUCAUACUCCAAUACUAUUGUUCAAAGGGAUUAUAAACAUUCACCAUUUUAUUGAUCAUUAUUAUGAUCACCACAACCUUCAAAAAGGCACAGAGAAUAUAGUUGAUCAGUAAAAUCCAAAUGAACAAUUUGACCAUGAUUUGGAAAACUAGUGUGCAAAUCUUAAAAGCCAUACCUUUGGGUUUCUUGUGCUGCAUAUUGAUUACGGGGUGAGUUAUCUUCACCAGAAGUCUUUCGAAUGUCAGAAUCUACAAAGUCCCUAUGCGGACUUCCGAUAGUACUGCUUGCAAAUGGACUAUUAGGAGCACUUUUUGCAGAUCCAUUGUCACUUUUAUUAGAAACAGAUCCAUUGCCUACUCUUUUGUCCCU